AGUGAACGCUGGCGGUAGGCCUAACACAUGCAAGUCGAACGGCAGCACAGUAAGAGCUUGCUCUUACGGGUGGCGAGUGGCGGACGGGUGAGGAAUACAUCGGAAUCUACUUUUUCGUGGGGGAUAACGUAGGGAAACUUACGCUAAUACCGCAUACGACCUACGGGUGAAAGCAGGGGAUCUUCGGACCUUGCGCGAUUGAAUGAGCCGAUGUCGGAUUAGCUAGUUGGCAGGGUAAAGGCCCACCAAGGCGACGAUCCGUAGCUGGUCUGAGAGGAUGAUCGGCCACACUGGAACUGGGACACGGUCCAGACUCCUACGGGAGGCAGCAGUGGGGAAUAUUGGACAAUGGGCGCAAGCCUGAUCCAGCCAUACCGCGUGGGUGAAGAAGGCCUUCGGGUUGUAAAGCCCUUUUGUUGGGAAAGAAAAGCAGCAGGUUAAUACCCCGCUGUUCUGACGGUACCCAAAGAAUAAGCACCGGCUAACUUCGUG
rnacentral:rRNA from 1 species